UACGGAGGGUGCAAGCGUUAUCCGGAAUCACUGGGUUUAAAGGGUGCGUAGGCGGCCUAAUAAGUCAGUCGUGAAAUCGCUGGGCUUAACCCAUGCAACUGCGAUUGAUACUGCUAGGCUUGAAUGGGGUUGAGGCUGGCGGAAUGCGGCAUGUAGCGGUGAAAUGCUUAGAUAUGCCGCAGAACACCGAUUGCGAAGGCAGCCAGCUGGGCCUUGAUUGACGCUGAGGCACGAAAGCGUGGGGAGCAAACAGGAUUAGAUACCCUGGUAGUCCACGCCCUAAACGAUGCUUACUUGCUGUGCCCGAUUUAUCGGGAGUGGCGUAGGGAAACCGAUAAGUAAGCCACCUGGGGAGUACGCCGGCAACGGUGAA
rnacentral:rRNA from 1 species